UACGUAGGGAGCAAGCGUUGUCCGGAAUCAUUGGGCGUAAAGCGCGCGUAGGCGGCCUCAUAAGUCCGUUGUGAAAGUCAAAGGCUCAACCUUUGAAAGCCGAUGGAUACUGUGAGGCUAGAGUCCGGAAGAGGCGAGUGGAAUUCCUGGUGUAGCGGUGGAAUGCGCAGAUAUCAGGAGGAACACCGAUGGCGAAGGCAGGUCUCUGGGCCAUUACUGACACUGAGAAGCGAAAGCAUGGGGAGCGAACAGG
rnacentral:rRNA from 1 species